AAACGGACUGGGAACGGCCUGGUGUAGGAGCAGUCAACAGGACUGUCAACACUAUAUAAGCUGACUUUUACCACUGUGCACAAAGAAGAAAGCCACCCGCCCCUGCAUCGAGAGUGAAGUCCUGAGACCAUGAAGAUGAGAGUUGCUGUGUUGCUGGUUGUGAUUGCUAUGUUCUGUGCUGCCGACGCUCAGACAUGCGCUCUGGAUGGACUGAUGAGCAGCCUGACCAAAUCUGUGGCCUCUGCAGUGCUGGAGAAAGUGACUCUGUCCUGCAUUGAUGUCCCAGGUAGUGGGUU